rnacentral:rRNA from 1 species
CAGUUCGGAUCGGAGUCUGCAACCCGACUCCGUGAAGCUGGAUUCGCUAGUAAUCGCGCAUCAGCCAUGGCGCGGUGAAUACGUUCCCGGGCCUUGUACACACCGCCCGUCAAGCCAUGGGAGCCGGGGGUGCUUGAAGUGCGUCGCCGCAAGGCGCGCCCUAGAGCAAAAACCGGUGACUGGGGCUAAGUCGUAACAAGGUAUC